rnacentral:lncRNA from 1 species
GGGAAGUCAUGAACUGAUAGGAAAUUCCUUGAUUAAGCAAUACUGCUUAGGGAUAGGGGUAGGACGAUCAAUUGUAUUUUGCUUCUGUUAUAAAUGCAUUGCUAAUUACUAGGGGAGAUUAGGGAUAGUAAGCUAGUAACUAGUAAUAGACUCUUUUUGUAACACCCCAAAUUUUUGGAGAUAUCACGGUGCAAUAUUUUUCAAAACCUUUCUAUUAAACAUUUAUGAAAGAUAACAAUCUUAUUUGAUUAAAAAUACGGAAGCUAAACAUAACCAUUCAUAUUGUUUAGAAAUCUUAAAAUAUCACUUUUACAUUAAAAUGUCAAAUCGAAAACUUUUAAAAAAUAUAAAUAACAAGUCCCCGAACAUAACAUCCCAACUCUCGUCAACUACUCCGAUCCGAUCUUAUCUACAACCCAUCUACUCCCGUACAAGUACGAUCAUCGUAGGUGGAAACCACAACCACAACUUUCAGGGUGAGGAACCAGAAAUAUCAUCAAAUCAAUCAAUAUAACAUUUAUAAGUUAGUUGUUAAGUCUUUAUCAUAAUUCUACUAUAUCCAACAAUCAACAAUACUCAAUGAGACUACAAUAACUAUCAUCACACUCUUAUACCAUUCCUUUAACUAGAAUUUGUACCAUUCCCAUCACCUAUCGAACAAAGACAACCCGUCCCUAUAUCAAAUUCUCUUAUAACCCAUUUUCCCAUUUUCUAUACUUCCAUGGAUAUUCUAUUUUACCGAAAUAGAACAAUUCGAGUGGUCCUCCACCGCAACUUCGGACCUGUCUCCCCUGCUCCAAAAUGUCCUUCAUGACAUUGAACUCAACAUGAGUCGGAACCUUACGGGCGAGACAUCCCUCCCUUUCUACCCUCCCACAAGAGGAAAGGUUAACACUCGAAUUUUCAAUCUCUUCUACCGCCCCUCAACGACGAAGAAAUCCACUUUUCUACCC